rnacentral:rRNA from 2 species
GACGAACGCUGGCGGCGUGCCUAAKACAUGCAAGUCGAGCGGACUUAAAAAGCUUGCUUUUUAAGUUAGCGGCGGACGGGUGAGUAACACGUGGGCAACCUGCCUGUAAGACUGGGAUAACUUCGGGAAACCGGAGCUAAUACCGGAUAAUCCUUUUCUACUCAUGUAGAAAAGCUGAAAGACGGUUUACGCUGUCACUUACAGAUGGGCCCGCGGCGCAUUAGCUAGUUGGUGAGGUAACGGCUCACCAAGGCGACGAUGCGUAGCCGACCUGAGAGGGUGAUCGGCCACACUGGGACUGAGACACGGCCCAGACUCCUACGGGAGGCAGCAGUAGGGAAUCUUCCGCAAUGGACGAAAGUCUGACGGAGCAACGCCGCGUGAGUGAUGAAGGUUUUCGGAUCGUAAAACUCUGUUGUUAGGGAAGAACAAGUACGAGAG